rnacentral:rRNA from 1 species
AUUGAACGCUGGCGGCAUGCCUUACACAUGCAAGUCGAACGGCAGCACGGGAGCAAUCCUGGUGGCGAGUGGCGAACGGGUGAGUAAUACAUCGGAACGUGCCCAAUCGUGGGGGAUAACGCAGCGAAAGCUGUGCUAAUACCGCAUACGAUCUACGGAUGAAAGCAGGGGACCGCAAGGCCUUGCGCGAAUGGAGCGGCCGAUGGCAGAUUAGGUAGUUGGUGGGGUAAAGGCUCACCAAGCCAACGAUCUGUAGCUGGUCUGAGAGGACGACCAGCCACACUGGGACUGAGACACGGCCCAGACUCCUACGGGAGGCAGCAGUGGGGAAUUUUGGACGAUGGGCGCAAGCCUGAUCCAGCCAUGCCGCGUGCAGGAUGAAGGCCUUCGGGUUGUAAACUGCUUUUGUACGGAACGAAACGGCCUUUUCUAAUAAAGAGGGCUAAUGACGGUACCGUAAGAAUAAGCACCGGCUAACUACGUG